rnacentral:rRNA from 1 species
GACGAACGCUGGCGGCGUGCUUAACACAUGCAAGUCGAACGGAAAGGCCCUGCUUUUGUGGGGUGCUCGAGUGGCGAACGGGUGAGUAACACGUGAGUAACCUGCCCUUGACUUUGGGAUAACUUCAGGAAACUGGGGCUAAUACCGGAUAGGAGCUCCUGCUGCAUGGUGGGGGUUGGAAAGUUUCGGCGGUUGGAGAUGGACUCGCGGCUUAUCAGCUUGUUGGGGGGGUAGUGGCUUACCAAGGGUUUGACGGGUAGCCGGCCUGAGAGGGUGACCGGCCACAUUGGGACUGAGAUACGGACCAGACUCCUACGGGAGGCAGCAGUGGGGAAUAUGGCGCAAUGGGCGGACGCCUGAUGCAGCAACGCCGCGUGCGGGAUGACGGCCUUCGGGUUGUAAACCGCUUUCGCCUGUGACGAAGAGUGAGUGACGGUAAUGGGUAAAGAAGCACCGGCUAACUACGUG